GAUGAACGCUGGCGGCGUGCCUAAUACAUGCAAGUCGAGCGAACAGACGAGGAGCUUGCUCCUCUGACGUUAGCGGCGGACGGGUGAGUAACACGUGGAUAACCUACCUAUAAGACUGGGAUAACUUCGGGAAACCGGAGCUAAUACCGGAUAAUAUAUUGAACCGCAUGGUUCAAUAGUGAAAGACGGUUUUGCUGUCACUUUUAGAUGGAUCCGCGCCGCAUUAGCUAGUUGGUAAGGUAACGGCUUACCAAGGCGACGAUGCGUAGCCGACAUGAGAGGGUGAUCGGCCACACUGGAACUGAGACACGGUCCAGACUCCUACGGGAGGCAGCAGUAGGGAAUCUUCCGCAAUGGGCGAAAGCCUGACGGAGCAACGCCGCGUGAGUGAUGAAGGUCUUCGGAUUGUAAAACUCUGUUAUUAGGGAAGAACAAAUGUGUAAGUAACUAUGCACGUCUUGACGGUACCUAAUCAGAAAGCCACGGCUAACUACGUG
rnacentral:rRNA from 1 species